GACGAACGCUGGCGGCGUGCUUAACACAUGCAAGUCGAACGAAGUGGCGAACGGGUGAGUAACGCGUACUCAACCUGCCCUUCAGAGGGGGACAACAGUUGGAAACGACUGCUAAUACCGCAUACUGAAGGAGGGGAUUGCGUCUGAUUAGGUAGUUGGAGGGGAAACGGCCCACCAAGUCGAUGAUCAGUAGCCGGUCUGAGAGGAGUAACGGCAACAUGGGGACGGAGACACGGCCCAGACUCCUACGGGAGGAAGCAGGGGGGAAUCGUCCGCAAUGGACGAAAGUCUGACGGAGCAACGCCGCGGGAGUGAUGACGGCCUUCGGGUUGUAAAGCUCUGUUAAUCGGGACGCGGGACCGGAAGAGAAAGCCACGGCUAACUACGUGCCAGCAGCCGCGGUAAUAC
rnacentral:rRNA from 1 species